rnacentral:lncRNA from 1 species
GAAAGAAGAGCUUAAAUAGAAGAGAGAGAGAGAGAGAGAUAUAUAUAUAUAUAUAUAUAUAUAUAUAUAUAUAAUGGAAUACUUCAACGUACUUUCUUCCUUAAAAAAAAUUAGCUGAUGGAAAACGAAGCACUAAUCAUAAAGGAUGACUGUUGACGAUAACACUCUGAAAAUAAAUAUUUACUUUAAAAAGAGAUGAUCGACUUUGAUCCUUGCACUGGAAAUGUAUAACAAAUGAUUAUUAUCUCGGAACGAGGACAACAUACAUCAUGGAAUUAACCAAUUAGAUCGAUUUUUUCGAGCUAUCGAAUAAAAUGAUUAAUUAUUAUUAAUUUUAUUAUAAUAAUAAUUAGAUUAUUUAUAUAAACUAAUAAAUUAGACUGAGAAUUAUGAAAUUCAAUUGAGACUAGAUGUGUUUGGAAUUUAUGAUACCAAAACAGGAGAGGUUUGCUUGAGCCUAUGCACCUUAUAAACAUGUUGAGUAAAAUUGUAAUUAAUAAAGCAUGUAUAUUACUUCAUAAGUAUAUUAUUGGAAAAAUGAUCAUAAAAAAAUAUUAUUCAUGUUCAAUUAUUGAAGUCCCUCGAUUGUUAGAUAAGAUAAGAUAUAAAAUAAUAUGAUUGUUAUUAGCUUGAUAACUUAGCUAAAUGUGUUAUGGUACUUAAGGCCUAGAUGUUGAUGAAAUCCCUUUACAAUAAGUCAUAUUUUAUACUUAUUAAUGGACCUAUCAGAAUUUUAUUUGAUAUAAAAAACUCAAUUGUACCCAAUAAAGGUUUAAUUUAGAUAAGAUGAGACUAAGUCUCAUAUAUUAUUUCAUAAUAAAAUAUUAUAUUAUCCAGAUGCUGAUCAUUCAAGAAUUUUUAAAACUUGGUUGAUAGUAAAAGGCUCAUAAAUGAAUUUUUGAGAUUAUUUUAUAAUAAAAAAAAUUAUUUAUUUUAAAGACUUAAUUUUUGGAUCUAUUAACUAUUGAAUGAAUUAAUAUAUGGCCAACAACAUCUCCAGUACUAGACAAGAAUAAUUUAAUAGGGGAUAUUGAAACCAAAUUUUAUUCUGAAUUCUCUUGAUGCGUGAUAUUCUAAUAGGGGAAUUGGAUGAAUGAUGUAACUUAUUAUUUAUCAUGCACCAAUGAGUAGAGACCUGAUGGGUCUCAAGUGAAUAAGGUGUUUAGAUUGAUUUAUACAUUUUAGGAAUUCAAUCAACUAAAUUAUUGAAAAGUUCAGACAAAAAAAGGUCAAGUAAUUUAUAAGAAAAAAUAGAUUCCACAAAAUCAAAAUAUUUUUUUAUAAAAAAAUAAAAAUUCUUUUAGUUGAUGGAUCACAAUAUUUAAAAAUAUUUUGGUUGGUAGAAUAUCUAAGAAAAAAUACAUGAUUUUGAUUGGGCAUCCAAUUUAUUACGUGUGAAGUGUUUAACCAUGGAUAACAUAGACACUAAAAUAUAAAUAAUUUACUAUAGUUAAAAGUAGAUUCAAAUAAUUUUUCAAAUGAUGAAACCAUAUUGAAAACCGAAGUGGACAUAUGAUUAAUAAGAUGUUGAUGCAACAAACACAUGAGACUAAAAUUAAAGAGAUAAAGAAGUUUGAGGAAGGAGUGUGAGACCAAUUCAGACGAUGUGCUGAUGACGACAUUCUGUGGUUUCAUUAUGUUUAGAAAUAUAUGAAAUGGUGAGAAAAUGAGAGAUUCCAUCGGUUUAAAAAAAAUAUAUAAAGAUUUUAAAAUUUAUCAUUAUUAUUAGAGUAAAAUAAAAUAAUGAAUCAUUGAACAAUAAGUUUAAAUUUAAGAAAAAUAAUGAAUACUUUAUAUUUUUUACUUUAUAGAAAAUAAUCGCAUAAACUUUAUAAAAUGAUUAAAAAAAUGAUAAUAGUUAAAUCCAUCAUAAGAUUAUAUUGAUGAAGAACCCCAAAUAUCAGCUCGAGGUGAAUUACUUACUAGAGAAGAUGUAGAAAAUGGAAGCUUAUGAAUUUUAUUAUAUGUGCAUAAAUUACAUAAAAAUAUGACAAGAUGAUGAUGAUAAAAGUAAAUUAAAAUAACAAAUAAUAUGAUUUAGAAGCUUAAAAGAAGAAUGUCUUAAAUGAUUAUGUCAUUUUUUUGAAAUAGAGCAUUAAUGGUGGUCAAAGUAAAGAUGGAUUUUGAUGUAAAUAUAUAAUACUUGGCCAUUCAUAAGCUCAAUCUCUAUUUAGCACCUCUAUAAGAUGUGGCCCCGUAUUAAGAUCCUUUACAAAAAAUAAAAAAAAAUAUAAGAAUUGAAUAUAAAUAUAAUUAAAAAAUAUAUAUAAUUUAUAGAUAAAUUUUAGGUUCUUCUUCAUAUUAGGAACAUAAUGAACAUAAAAAAUAUAUAAAAAAAAAGAUUUAAGGAAGAGGGAAGGUUUGUAGAACUAAUAUAAAUCAUUUUUAAGACAUUUACCGCCUAUCAUGAUAUGAAGUCAGUUUGAUGAAGGUUGAAAGGAUUGAGAAACAAAGUAAGCACAUGACGAUGCUAAUAAAAAUCAAAUAGGUGUCGUAUGAUAUGUAAAAUAAGAUGAGUAUGAAGGCUAAAAUAUCUAUAGAAUAGUAGCUUGCAAGUGAUGACAUUUCUUAGCAAUAUAACUUUUCAUAUCAUAUAUUUGAUAGAUGACUUUAUUAUUGAAUUGUUGCUCCAAUUUGUUAAUACUUUUGUCGUGACAUUGUUGCAUGUUGUCUCCAGAAUGAUUAUUUAGACAAUUAUUUUGCUAGUUAUGGAUUUUGCCUUUGUUGUUAGAAUUAGCUUUGUUAGCAAAAUUAUUAAUAAAUCCAUUUGCCUAAGUUUUGAUAGCUUGCAUAUAAUUAAAAAUACAUUAUGUGCCCUUUGAAAGUUUGGAGAGUUUCUCAAAAUUGUAUAAGAUGAUCACGAGAUUGAUUGGAAUAUAUUGUUGUAAGCUUGGAUCACAAGGAUUUUGUAAAAGCUACAUAAGGAAUGAUUUGAGGAGAGAGAGCGAUAGCACUAGCACUUCUAAGAAAAUGAUAUUGAUGGAUUAAAAAAAAUAUGAUGAGGAUUAAUAACUUUAAGAUUAUUCUCUAAGUUGAAAAUGAUAAUGAGCAGCGAGACAUUAUUGAUUAUCAAAAAAAUAGAGAAUAAAAUACUCGAAGAAAAAGAGGAGUGAUCCUCAUUAUUUGAUAUAAUCAUGAUAAUAUGUUUUUAUAUUUUUUAUUUAAAAAUAUGAUAAUAUAUUAUUAAAAUAUUAAAAUAUUAUUGAAAUCAUGAUCCUUAUUAUUUGACAUAAUCAUGAUAAUAUAUUAUUAUAAUUUUAUGAUUUAGAAUAUGAUAAUAUAUUAUUAAAAUAUUAAAAUGAUCACGAUAAUUUUAGCAUAACUUAUGUUUCACAAUAAUAUCCUUCUUAAUUCAUGUUACUGCACUUGAAAUUGACCAAAGGAUGGGCAAAGCAAACGAUCGGUGCCAAACCAUAUGCAACAAGGUCCAUUGCCGUCACUCCACUUGCCUCCAUCGCUGUUGUCCGAAGACGAUCCGACGUCCACAAACCGGAGACGAAAAAGGCGUGCACAGUGGAACCACUGUCAUUGCUGCAGCAAGACGCGGACCCGAAGAUGGCAGCGUCGGAGCUCUUCAUGGCGUCAAGCAAGCGAGGCCAUACAUUCCACGACUGGAGUGGGUCGUCCUCAGAUAUCAUCCCCUCGUGUUAUCUCCAUGACUUGCCAUCGUUGCAGUGAGAUCGCCGGAUUACCGCCGGUCGAUCACGCGGCUCAUUAUGUAGCGUUGAAUUCAUAGCACAACAGGUCGCGAUCACACCGGCUUUGGAUUUAUUCUUCUACCAUGCGCUGCCGGUGGCGACAUGAUCCGUUAGGCAGGCGAGGAGCCCACCCACGGUCGCUGUGGAGUACUGAUAGCUACCUUUUGAUGAUAAUGAUUUGAGCAAGCUCAGCCAACGAAGGUUGUGCAUUGCUGAUACAAGUAAGACUUGGGGAGAAGUUAUCUUUGUCUGGUAAUCGUACAGAUGAAAUCUUUCUUGGAUUUGCCGGUGUUGGAAGUACUAAUCUAUGGAUAUCAUAUGCCUUUCAAUACAAAAUACAUGCAGAGCACAAAAUAGAAUGCUAUCGUAAAAUAUUUUAUCCAAUUAAAUAUAUUAUAAAAAAUCAUUAUCAAUCGAUCAUAAGUUUGAGUUUGAGUUUUCUUUUCAGUCAUAUCAGAUUUCUUAGAUCAUAAGUUUGAAUUUUCUUUUCAAUCAUAUCAGAUUUCUUAGGCAUAUGUGCCUUCUAAUCAAGUGGGACUAAUUUAGUAGUUGUGGUCGUCCACGUAAGGUGUAUCUUUCACGGCUGGUUGUUCUUUGAUGCCUUACUCAAACGCACGCACGCUUUUGCUUUUGUGAUAUGACUCGUUGAGUUAGUCCUUUCACCGGCUUUCUCCAGCUUCUUCUUCUUCGCUCGCCAUGUUCGUUCUCAUUCCUACUGAAAGAAACCAGGCUCUCCAUCAAGGGAAGAAUCGAUAGAGAUGAUGCUGAUUUGUUCUCUGGUUUGUGGCUUUUUGACCGUGGCUUUAUCUCCAAGUGCAAACACCUUUUUGCCUUGAUGAAACCAAACAGUAGAAGAAGAAGAAGAAGAAGAACACAAACUCCAUCUUCCAACUCUUGACCUUCCCCACCUCUACUUCUAGCUCAGCCGACCUACCGCCCCCCCCUCUUCGUGAAAGAGGCACAAGACUUGACCAUCCAUCAUCUCUCAAUUUUUUAAAGUACAAAUCUAUCUUUAGAUAAUCCCACACAAGAUACGUGCUUUGUCAAAUCUAUGCACUCUUCUCAUGAUUCACAACAUACUUGAGGCUCCACAUGGUUGUGUGGUCAUGGAAGUGGUUGCUGCCUUCAUGGAACUUCAAGAUUCUGACCUGCAAAGCAGAGGCCAAGUAGUGUGGCAGUAAGUGGGUCGAAACAAAACUGUCCUUCUCAUCCCAACCUAAUGAAUUGAGACUUCUGUGUUUAAUUUGGAUUAAACUGUUGCUGGGUCCAUGCAUCAUCCAUCCAUUUUGUCCAUUGAGAUAAAGCUUGGUAUGGUCAUGACUGAUGGAAGUGGAACAAGAGCCAAUUCCUUCUCCACCUAAAAGUUGAGCUUCCACAGCCCACAGAUGUGAUUCCAGCUGGUUGAUACUUGAUGGAAGAAAAGGUCAAAGCAUAUAUGUCUGUUCAUCUCUUCACAACUUUCUUGGUUUUUUGCAGAGGCAAAAAAAUAUGCCCAAAGAUUGGGCUAAGAAUGCAUUGCAGCACAUCAUUCACAUGGUUUCAGAGUUCAGACAUGUAUGGAAACCAUAGACACAGAGGGAAAGCUCCUACCCCAAAUGACAGCCUAGAUGCAAUGAACAACAGAAGGAAACAGUCAUCACAUUAGUUUAUUUAUGAAGGUAAUGUGUAGGAUGUGACUCAACAAAGAAAAUGAAAUCUAUAAAUUAAUCCAUCUACAACAAUGACCAUGUAUAUGUUGCUCAGAAAGGAAUGUUAACCAAGGACAUAAAGCUUAAUCCAAAGCAUGAAGUCAGAGUUAUAUCACAGCAGAGCAUCUGCUGGAUAUUCUUUAGAACUUUGCUUUCUAGUUAGAGAAUUAUCAUGCUGGAAUAGAUUGCAGUGAAUCUGUUCAUCAACUACAUACAUAUGAAAGAUGGUUCACAUGAAUAUCAACACUUGCGAUUGAUUAUAAAUGACAAUUUUUUGCUGGUUCGACACAACUUGGCCAUCAGAAUUCAUUCUGGGUCGAAAAAAGUUGCAGUUCAAAACAUUGACUUCCACUAAAGAAUCAACUUCUCCGAAUGACAUCUUGCUGGGACAAUAUAAUGGUACAAGAUGCAAUUCGUUUACUGUGCAUAAAGGACAGUAAAGGCUUUGUUUGUCUGAAGGAAAACAGGACAUUUUGCUAAUCCAGGUAGAUUUCUUGAAGCAGUGCGUUGAAAUGCUUGCUGUUCUCAUAGGAAUUCAAGAACUUAUAUCAAGAGGUUAUCAAUUUGAGGUCGAAAAAAUCCAACUUAAAUUAAUGUCAGCAGCAGACUUUUUUUAUCCGCAUAAACAAUUGAGAAAUCGCAAAGAACACAUCGGUUGUUGACCGCAACUGCAGCUGGCUUUCGUGACCUGCGUGUGGAAGUCAAAAGUAGUCGUACGAUUCCUCAAAUAAGAAAACGAAAGAGAUGAUAUCGGCACAAGAAAACACUGAAUAAUGCAUCAGAAGUGCAAGUUGCCUAAUGUUCAGUCCGAGGCAUCUCAUCCUUUGUUUCUGAAACAUGGAGAAGAAUGAGACAACAUGUGCAACUCUGCGGCCUCCUGAAUUCUCAGUCUAAAUUUCAUAUAGCCGAAAAACCGAGGAAGAAUUCCAGAGACAAUAAUUUAAUAUAGUUGGAUGUGGUAGGAAAAACUAUGAUGGAUCCACUUCAACUGCUAAACUUGCAUAGACUUCAUAAGAAUAUAUUGUCAUCAAGCAUCAAUCAACAAGGACUUAAAUUUAGGCAGUAUCAUAUCCAAGUAGCAAAAUACAUGUUAUUCUUAAGUUUGUGUCUUUUGUCAUCCUAUUCAGCAAACAAAAUUCUACAAUGAUACAGUGGUUUCUUCUAUAGAGAUGUUUACCGGUAGCUAUCAGGAUUUACCUAUUCAUGAAGCAAUAGAACAUCAUGUGCCACAUCUUCAGGAACCAAGCAGAAAACAUCACACAGGAAAUAGUGGAAGAUUCUCCAAAGCUGUACUGCAAAACACUUGAUUAGCUUCAGCAAAAAACAGUCUGAAAGAAUGAAGAUUGAAGUUGUUAUUUCUGAGUUCUGAUUAUAUAGUGUUUACUGAUUGAACCUUGAUGAGCAACAAAAAGAAAGCUAAGAUUCAGUUUGAAGACUAUAAACACUGUAUAAUUGUUUGAUGAGCUAUGUGCUCUCAACUAUUCAUCAAAAUUAUAGAGUUCUGAGUUCUGAUUAACUAAGAAAAACAAACUUAAUUCUUUUAGCUGACUAUGAUAUCAUGUGAGAAAUCAUAGCUCUGAUGCUAAAAAAAAUCAAAUGCAUAUUUCCCAAUGUGCUACCUGAAACAUCAAAAAGUAAAAAAGUCACAGUAAUAAGGUAGUCAAAACUAAGUUGCAGAACACUAUUUGGAAAGAAGCUCAUUGAUUCCUCCCAUAACCACUUGCCUAGCUGAGAAGUACAGGUUUGCUUUUUAGUGUUCUGAUUCAAGACUAUGUGAAGGUCAAGAAACCAGAGGACUUACUGUCGAUCAACAUGGCUUCUACCUCAUCAGUGACGAGACCUCACUGACAGAUAACCUAUGUUGUGUGGGAAGAGGAUAUUGGGCUACUUGAACAAUUGGCCUACUUCAAAUCUAAACCCAGCCUGACCCAUCUGCUUUUAAUCCUUUGACUUGUUAUUGCCAAUUCAGUGAAGUGGGCACUAAACUUGCAAUGUUUAGUGCCAUGGAGCCAAACAAAAAGGCAACAAAGCUACAAGUAAGCCAAUUCAGAAGACAAGCUAACUUUAUAGCGAUCUCAGUGCCUGGUUGGUGCUUCAGCAAACUUAGGCUACUCGGUCCUUCAAUCCCCAUCCAACAGACCAAGGAUAUGAAAUGCAAACAGCUCUGCAUAAAGUCAUGAAGCCAUCACAUGGUUCCUAGUGGCUCCAAUGAGGGUCCUUUCAGAAAGCCAAAAGUAUAGAAAUCAUUGCAGAUCCUCAUAUUCCUUUUGUUGGAAUGAGAGAGGCCAUGACACAAACUCCCAUCCAGGCAUAGAAUAAUGCUCUUCAACCAAGGAUCCUGAGGAAGAGACAUGUGACUAGUUAUUAGAAAGCCAUGUUCCAUGACCUAAAAGCUUGGAUUGUCCCCCCACUCUAGCGUCUGAGAGAGAGGGGGGUUCAAAGCUGAAAGAAUCUCCUUCACCAAAAAAGCACAUGAUUGCAAUGAAGUGGCAGCAUUAGGAGAACAGAGCUUCAUCCCCUCAAAUGCCAUCUCCCACUGGUAUUACGUUGCCCACUGGAUUCCCUCUGGAUGCUAACCAGAGUUCCAAACUUGACAUUGUUGAGAACAAUGAGGAGUCUUUUUCUGCUUGUGUGAGGUGGUGUUCUGCUGACACCCCGCUGUUCGAGCUGUGGCCAGAGAAGUCUUUGAAGCAAUAGUUGGUUGGCACUCUGGCACAAGCUGAGCAGGAAAUGCGAAGGCCAAACAGUCGCAUGAACUGUAAACAAGAAAUAAUGAUGAAACAUUGAGCCGAGUGCUUAACACGCACAGAAAUCCCUCGCGCUUAUCUCUGUUUGUGAGGAUAUGGGACACUGUUCCUGCUAAAAUUCUACAUCAGGUUCUUUGACUUGCCUUUGGCUUGUCGCCACAGUAACUUCUCCACUGCACUUCCACACACAGCAUCAGAUCCAUUAAUAUGCCCAAAGAUAUGCUCAUAAAAACAUCUCAUUAUGAUCGUCAAUCCAAUGUCACCAAUAUCCAUUUAGUGAUCUCGGUGAAGGGUCGGCUGCAGCAUCAGUUAAUGCGAGAUCAGCCUGCGAGAUCUGCUUUGGAGUUCGUGCCACCUCACGCUCGCAGUACAGUAGAAGCGGGUCCGCCGUCGGAUAUGCUGGGCCAAGUCCCGCCGAACCGUUUGAUCUUCGACCAGGGAGUAACUCGUGAUGUAAUCUAACCAUGCCAUGACAAACUCCAUGUUCCCCAUGCACACGUAUCGGACAAACUAGUGCGUUUUGGACUCUCUUGAACAUGGCAUUGCUGCAGCGUCGAUGAUAACACAUCUGAGCACCGUUUGCAACUUGUCUCAUCCUACCAAGGAAAGAAGGAAAUAUUUACUACCUGUGUUCCACGCUGAUGUUGGAUUAGGACUGUUCCCGAAAGUUUUAAGUUGAUGGAGAAGACACGGGGAGACUAUUAUGGCCAGUCGGGGGCCCCACAGCCGAUGCCCAGUUUCCCUUCGUGGCACGUUUCGUGGCCGGUCGGAAAGCAUCUCGUGGCUGGCAGGAAACCAACAAGCGGGGGGGUGACUUCCGUCGUGAGGCGAGGGCAGUUUCGUGAUUCUUGGGACGCCCUCGAAAGAGACUCGUCGGAGCACCCACAACCGCCUGCCCGAAAUGCCCCUCCUAGUUGGAGCAUCAUUUCUCGGCGUACAUGGAAAGGAUGGGCAGCAUGGUCAUUUUGAUCAUUUGUUGGCAUCGUCGAAGCGUACUGCAGGUCACCUGUCUCGUUUCCACCCCACAAUUCCGCAGCACGGCGACACGAGGAGGAGGAGAUCCACCGUCAUGAUAUCACGUGGCGACCCCCUUACGUGGCCGCCACACCAAGGAAUUCGAACAAGUAAAAGAUACGUUACGAGACCAUGGGACAACCAACAGCAAUGUGAUCUACUCUUUACCUGAUGCAGCAGUCCUUGGAGACGACUUCCAAAAAGAGUUGCUGCUGCAACGCCAUCACCAAAACAAUCAACCGCCCCUUCUUUGCUCUCGUCUCCGUAUAAAGUUUAAAGGUGACAACCGCAGCAGACUGCGUUGAUGGGAUCAAAGAUGAGGAGGAUUCGCCGUUCUCGUCACGUGCUCGGGAGCACGGCGACCGCCAGGGGCCGUCGGGGUACCGGUCAAAGCUAGACGGUGCGGAGCGCGACAAGGCCGUCACGGGAACACUUCACAGGAAUCUCAGCCCCUGCAAAUACAACGUCGAUUACCCACUCCUCCACCCAUCUCGGAUCGCCACCGGGUCCCGCGUCGGUCUCCUCCACUUGCGACGCAGGUUAGGGUACGACGGGAACGGGUGGGGAUGAAUAAUGCCGCUCUGUACCCGCACAAAAAAUGAUCACUUGCGUGUCGGCAUCGUGUUCGUCCUUAUCGUGGACCGGACCGAUCCUAGUGCGAACCGGUCUAUAUAAAUGAGCCGCAGGAGUGGCGGAGUACUUCAUCUUCAAGUACGUUGGGCUUCUUUGGUCGCGGCGUAAUUUCCCGAUUCUGCGAGACCUCUUUGUUUAAUGGUAUAGAUGACCGCCUCCGCCAUGGUUACCGACGUCGCCAUCUCGACAGAGGCUUUCCUCGACCGGCCGGCGGCCUUAUCGGCCUUCUGCCGCCUCGGCUCGAGGAUCUCCCUCGGCCGCGAUCUCAUCGCCGCCGACAAGGCGGGGGAGCCGGCCGACGUGGGCCCUGAUGGGGAGGAUUCUGGUGGAGACUUCGUCGACUUCGAGUUCCGGCUCAAUCAUCCCGUCGCCAUGCUCCCUGCCGACGAGCUGUUCGCCGAUGGGAAGCUGGUACCGCUUCAGCUGGCGGCGACGAAGCCGGUGUCGAUGCACCCCGUGGCUGAGAUCCGCUCGCCGGAACAGCCGAAGUCGCUGAGGGUGGCCCAGGUCUCUGGUUCGGACCCCUAUGUCUUCUCUCCCCGCGCGCCGAGCUGCACCAGCCGAUGGCGGGAGCUGCUCGGCCUCAAGCGGGCGGCGAUCACGAAGGCGGACCACCCCGAGAACGUUUCGCCCGCCCCUGCUGCCGCCAAGUCCAAUAACCCUAACCCUGACGCCCGAUCCCUGAAGCAUUUCUUUCACCGGAACCACAAAUCGUCCCCGCUCGAGCCGUCGCUGAGCCUGCCCCUCCUCCGCGACUCCGACUCGGAAUCGGUCUCGAUCUCCGCCCGCCUCUCCCUCUCCUCUUCCUCCUCCUCCGGCCCGGACCACGAGGACCUCCCACGGUUCUCCCUCGACUCCGACAAGCCCAACCACCACAUCCCCAUGGUCCGGCUGGUCCGGCCGCUGCCGGCAGCGACGGAACUCGGACGGAGCCGGAUCAGGCGGACCGGGUCAUCGGAGAUGGCCACACCGCCGCCGCUGACCGUGCCGGUGGACAGCCCGCGGAUGAACCCGUCGGGGAAGGUGGUGUUCCACGGGCUGGAGCGGAGCUCGAGCAGCCCCGGAAGCUUCACGGGCGGGCCACGGCCGCGGCCGCGGGGGAUGGAGCGGUCCUACUCGGCCAACGUCGUCCGGGUCGCCCCGGUCCUCAACGUCCCAGUAUGCUCCCUCCGCGGUUCCGCAAAGUCCAGCCCGGUCUUCGGGUUCGGCCAGCUGUUCUCGCCGCCGAAGAAGGAGAAGGCCGGGCCGGGCGCAUCCGCGGCUCGGAGCGGUGGCAGCGCGAAGACCAAGAGCGACAAGGCAUCGAAUUCGUGGAAUUAGGCAGCAAAUCCCGCCUCUUGUUCAUCAAAGGUCGUUCCAUUACCCGUUCAAAUUUACCCUUCCUUAGUACUGUUAAUUUCGGCUUCUUUUUUUCGCCUUUGGAAUUCCCCUCUCCAAAAUCUCUGCACGACGAUUCGCCUGUAAAUAUUUGUCUCGCGCAACCGUUCUCUUCUGUCGUCUUGCGCUUCAUGUAAUAUUUAUGUGGUCUGUUGUUGCUGCGGUGCGGUGCGGUGCGGUGCGAUGCGGUGAGGUGGAUUGGAUCUGCGGGAGCGCACUACGGGCCAUGUGCUCGACGCCUCGAUCGGGGCGCGCAUUGCCAUGCCUUCUCCUCCUCCUCCUCCUUCCCCCCUCCCUCCUGCCUGUCCUCGUUGGCCGUACACCUGUACCCCAUGUGAUGUGCACGCCCUUCCAAGCCCACUUGUGACGGAUUAACCCGCAGGGAGUCAUAUUUAACCCCACAACCCAUGGGUUGGGGUUUGUCAACGGGUCGUAUUCUCUUGGGAAACGAAGCAAGAUAUGAAAUCAGAGGGUGUGCUGUCUCUGAGGAGCAGCAGCUCUGUGCUGAAUUGUUUGCACGUCGGGCGGAUCCCAAAUAUGCCGGUAUAUAAAUUUAAUUUCCACUGUUUGUGUUCUUCGGCUUGUCUUGUUUGGACUCGCUGAGAGAGAGAGAGAGAGAGACGGUGGUUGUCAUCGGACGGUCCGUGCUGUGUCUCAAAGCCAUUUUGUUCCCCCCUCUCGUCUCGAUCCUUUUGGAUUAAAUUAAACCGCUGGGAAUUUAACUAUCGUUGGGUUCGGUGUGGCGAUGGUUAACUGUACUUUAGUGUUUAGGUGAUGGUCGGAUUGUCUCAGGGAUAGUGACAAUUAAAAUUAUAAGGAUUAAAAUUGUAUUGGACUGAGAUCCUAAGAUCGAAUUAAUGGUCUCGCAAGAUUCGAUAAAAUUGUUUGCACGUAAUAAUAAUUUAUUGUAUCCAAUUAAGAAAUAUGAAAAAUAUUUAAUUAGAAAUAAAAUCUUUUUUAAAAAAUAUUAAAAUUAAAAAGUAUAGUAUCACUCGGUCGAGCCAAUAGAAAAAAAAAAGUCGAUAUUGAUCAGUAUCGCUCUCUCAACUUUCUAUUUUAGUUCAUAGAAAGACCUAAAACGCAGGUGUUGCCUCACAUCAAAUGGUAGAUUACAGAUCGAUUCAAGACAGAUCCUCUUUUUAGAACAACCCCAAGUCACUCAAAGCUGAUUUGCAGCCAAGAAUGCAUUGAAAGUGAUCAUGAAAGAUCCAUCUCUUUGGUAUAAACUUACUUUUUUUUUCAUUUAAUAUUCUUCAUCUACAGCAUCUGUAACCACAAACAUUGUGUUGGCACCAAUCACUUAUAUAUGAGAUAAGAUUCUAUGUAAAUCUUCUAAAGAAGUUCGAAACCACACGUACCAACUCGACACAGUAUCUGUGUCAAUAGUAGAAGAUAUCCACGAGCAGAAUGAAUGAAUGAACAGAGGGAAGGAGCUUUGAGCAAACCUGUUGAGGAAGAGAAGGCGAAUGAAUGAAGCCAAGCUUUCCUGUUGGUUGAUGCGGAGUCGCGUCUUGCCUUCUUAGCUGUCGAUUGCUAGCAUGGAGAGAGGGAGACAAGGAAACAAGUAGGAUUCGCACUAAUCAGACUAUCAACCUAAAAUUUGGAUGAUCUAAACUCACAGGUUAACUUCUUUGUAUCUAUAAAUAAGCAUGGCAACUAAAACCAAGAAGAGAUUACUGUCUUAUCAAUCUAAAUUCGUCUUCCUCAAUCUUCUUACAAGCCAUCCCCUAACAUUCGUUUUCGUAUUACCUCUUCCUAAGAAUUAAAAGUCAUAUUUAGUCCACCGGCAUUAAACUUUGUUCUGUAAGAAGGCUUCAUCCCAUUUGGACGCAGCAUUUGAAGCAGCUCCAUUGUGGCGGCCAUGGAUCAAAGGAGUUCUGAAGGGCCCAGGAUCCAUAAAAAGACACAACAAUUGCUACCGAGGGAUUUGGAUGAGGAAGCCAUUUAUCUGCUUCAUGAUCAACACACAACAAUUGCAAGUGCGGCCAUUAAGCUUUUCUAGAUUUCCUCCUUGAAACCAGAGAAGGCUACGCUGAUAUGUCGUAUAUGGUGGUCAGGUCUCUCGGAACAUAAAAUACAAGAAACUGAUACCUUUCUUUUAACUUCCUGAACAUAAAAUAAACGACUCGUCAAAAUGAGAAGACAAAACCCUGCAAAUCGAAAUAACGUUCAUAACAUAAAAUAAACGACUCGUCCGUUCGAGAUUUGAUCUCUCCAAAAUCCUCGUUACUGUGUAUAAUGAUGCUGCUGUGAGAGGUAUUCGCUUGCAACCACAACUAAAUCCAGCAAACAAAACAUACGAGAUGUAAGGGAAAGAUAUUUAGACUUGUCUGAAGGAUAAGUCAAGCCAACUCUCCCUUCUCCAAGUUGUCAUCUUGGUUUUAAUGUACAGCUGCGUCAUCAGAUUCUCUAUUUCUCUGGAUCAGAUCGAUGCAUCCAACCCCAUCACAGUUUUCCUUUAGUCGGACAACACAAUCAUAAACAGCACGAAGAUGGCAUAUAAAGCUAGGAAAAGACAAUGUUCUAAGAGCCACGAAAAGGUUUUAGGCUUGCGAUAAGUGACAUGACAAUAGCCCACACAAAAUAAUAAGAUUACUUAAUUACCCUUAACUUAAUUCAUUUUAGAGUGUAUUUACAUGAAGAAAACGAACUCUCUCUCCAUUCGUCCUUGUCUCUCCCUCCGACUACCUCUCCCAUCGUCUUCAGUUCGCCUCAUCUCCAUCUAUCACUUCUCUUUUAUAUGUUGCUCUCCAUCUUUUCUUUAUUUAUCUUCUUUUGUUAAUUUAUGGCCCACUCCUCUACGUAUAAAAAUCCUUACUUGAUAAUCGAAUUGCAUUUUUAAUUUUUAAAUAUUAUCAUAUAUUAUUUAAUUUAGAUAAAGAUUUAUGUUUAGGAGGAUAGUUAAUAUUAUUAAUCUUAUCUUUUUUUUAUUUUUCUAAGAUUAUUCUUUUUUGAAUAAUUUUGGCAUAUUAGAUUUUUAUUAAUAUUUUUUUAGAAAAAAUAAACUAACGGUAGAAUCUGACCCAGCAAUUAUAUAUAUAUAUAUAUAUAUAUAGAUAAUUGUCCAAAUUAUAAAAAGAAAACUACAGUGUUCAAAUUAGCCUAAACCAAUUUAAAAUCAGUCCAAAUCGAUUCAUCAAUAUUUUAAUUUUAAAAGUUAUAAAUGGUUUUUAAUUUAACUAGUUCAAACUGAAUUAAAUUAAUUUUAAUUUAAAAAAUAUCAAUUAAAUUUAUUAUUAAGUUUCUAAUCAAUUCAAACCGAUUAAUCAAAUAGGAUAGAUAACUAAUUUUAUAAAUGAUAUGAGGUCAAUUUCAUAAAUCUUAUCAUAACGCUGAGAUCAAAAUUUCUGAUUUAAAUUAAAUUAAUUUAUUUUAAAAAAUUAUUUAAAAUUAUAAAUCGAUUAACUGGUUAAUCGAACCGGAUUAAUAAGUUUUGAAAUGAUUUGAUUAAAUAAAUUUUAAUUAAUUUUGAUUCGAACUAUGCUACCUUAAUCGAAUCGAAUCCCAAAAACACAAUUCGAUUCGGUUCGGAUCUGAACACCCGGAAACUUGCUGAUAAGAGCAUAAGACCCAUCGACGUGGAUAAGGCCAUCAAACUAACGUGCAGAUCUGCCGUGCAUCCGCUGGCAAGGAGACUGACAUGAUCACCUGAUUUGACCAAAGAAACUUUUCAGUCAACGUGAAGAUAAUUAUUGAUUCGAUCAUCUUAUUAGAAAUUUGAGAGAUGAAAAACUUGAUUUUAUUAAUCCUAUCAUUAUACUUCUCAUUGGUUUAUUAUUUAUUUACUUUAAUAAUGUAAUCACUCCAAUCAUUUCCUUUGUUUUAAUGGUGGAUUCACAAUCAUUUUGAAAUUAUCGAAAUAAUUACCAACUCUACAUAUAUCAGUCUAUUAUCUUGGUUUAAGAAUUUUUUAGUAAAAUUGAUUACAGAUGAAUUAAUUUUAUAUUCGAUUAUAUUUACGAUUUUACUAAUUGGGCUCAUUAAAUUAUUUAUUUAUUUAUUUAGUCUAAAUUAAUUAAUUUUAUAUAUUGUUGUCGGCUUAUUAACGCCAUUAGAGAGAGAGAGACGAGAGACGAGAGGGUAGUUGAUGUCAAUUUUUUUUUUUUUGGGACGCAACGUCGACGCGGUUUCAGUUCAGAAGAAAAGAGAGAACGCGGAGGAAGGAAGAAGAAGCAAGAAGAAGGACUUAGAGACUUUCCUCAUCACUCCGAAAACUAUAUCAUCAUCAGAUACCAGAUCAUAUUUGUCAUUGCUUUCUCCACUCCACCCUCUCUUGUUAUCGGUAGAAAUCUGCAUGAUGAAUCCAGCAUCAGAGUCUCGAUCAAGUCCUCAGGUUGUCGUCUUCUCAUCCCUUCUUCUUCUUCUUCUUCUUCUGCAACCAAACCGGAGAAGUUCUCCCUCACGGAUCUGCUCGCUCUUUCACAAACACCACUCCUCCUCCAUCCUCUUCUUCACUAAUCUCAUGUUUGAUUGUCUCGCAGCAACACCAAACCACUGUUAAUUCCACGACCGAGAUCCAGUUGCGGCCAAUAAUCGAUGACAUGUUUCAAAACUCAUGGGAAGCUGUAAGCACUCAGUUCCUUCUCAGCAUAAUAUGAAUCACUGUUUAUUAUUUCUGCUUUUUUUUCCUUGAAUUUCCUGACACAUCUUUUUCUUUUUGGAUCCCCAAAAAAAAUUUACACAUGCAAGAAAUUAAUACAAGUGAUUCUCAAGCCUUUGCUAAGCUUCUUGGAAAGAUAUGCAACUUCUUAAGACUUGUUUAAGCCUCAAAAUAAUUUUUUGAUAGGACAAAGACACAUGUUUUAGUUCUUCUUCUAUUUGCUUGCUAUAAACAACUUCCAACAAUAGGUUUUUCUGUAUCGGAUGGAAACAUGUAUUUAUUCGUUGCGUUGUCUUAUUCAUGUUUAUCGCUGCCUUUAGAUCUUCUGCUUCUUCUUUUCUCAAGAAUCUGAGGAUUUUGUCUAUCUUUGAUUCAGGCAGAAAGAGGUUAUGAAACAUGUAGCUAUUAUGAAUCCAAGUUGAAGCAAAUCCUACAGUUCGCCUUCAUUGAUAUCAUCAUCAGCUUAAUGGCAGUGUUUGCAGUUUUCAUAGCACAGCGAGAUCUGAAAGGCCAUGCAAACGAAUUGCACCUUCUCAUCUGCGGCUACCUCACCACCUGCAGUCUUCUCUGUGGGGUAACCCUAAUGUUCUUCACCAUCAAUUUGCUAAGUCGCAAGAAUCAGAGUGUCCAAAGAGGCCAGCAUACGACCACCGUUUUCCUACUCGUCAUUUCAUGCGCUCUCCUCAUCCUUACAGCAGCUGGUUUCUCAACUCUCCUCCAUAAACGCUCUAUGUUUCUGGCAGCCCUGCUUCCGGGAUGUUUGCUUCUCGGCACCCUCCUCUACUUCAUAUUCCACGCAGGCGAUGAUCAUGAUCAGAAUUCCACAGGAUAUGGAAGCUAUAAAUCAGAGCUGAAACAUUCGUUGGGUCUCUCAUCCACUGUUGUCUCCCUUGCAUUCAGUGGGCUGAUAACUACUCUUAUUGGGACCGCUAAAAGUAAUUCGGAUCAAGCCCUUACCAUAAACACGAAAAUCUGCAUCUUUCAGAUGUUCUUCGCCGCCAUGUUCGGCCUUCUGUUGAUGCUGCUCAGCUCAGUCCCACCGAGCUUCAAGCAGCAAAGCACCAGGGAGUUCCUUACCAAGCUCCUCAAAGCACUCAGCUACUCUCUGCUGGGCUCAUUGGCACUCAUAGCCGCUACGGCGGCUUCUGCUUUCCUUGACGUCUUCCUUGUACUGGUUCUCCUGCCGACACCAUUUCUUGGAGUCACUCUUUGGUUCUGCAUAGAGUGGCACAGCACCCAGAAACAGCCGCACGGACCGCGCACUACUACCAACGUUGGUCAUGAUCUCAAGCUCAAACUCAUUUCCAAGGUCGGUACUACCACGACAUCCAUCAGCUUCGGAGGUCUUACGGGCGCCUUCUCAGGAUUUAUCGGCAGAAAAGGCAGUGAAUUGCAGCUCAAGAUCUGCGUGCUGGUGAUGUUCUUCGCAUUUCUGUCCAGUUUCAGCGUGAAGCUGCUCACUUUCAGUACUCCAAAGCCAGGAACUCUGAUGACAGUUAUCAAAUCCUUAAGCACUUGCUCUGUCUUGCUGCUCCUAUUCUCUGCCAUUAUCGUCUUCUUCCUCGAGUUCCUGGGUGGCUGAGCACAACGAAAAUUACUACUUACUUGCUGCUCGGGGAAAUGCUCAUGUCACGUUGAAGUCAGUGGGAUUCGGUCAUAUCCUGAGAGAUCAGAUGGAAUGUGAACAUUGCAUUUGAUUACAGUGUAAGUUUCUUUUUUACUUUUAGAAAAAAAGCUAGAGAAUUUGAUUACAGCAUUAGUUGUUGUCAUCACAAAAACACCCCAGCAUGGCCCAUAUGGUUUUAGGGCUUGUCCAUAAAUAGCAUAAGAUUGAUGCAUUGAUUGCUCACUGUGUGCCCACAUGACUUCCAGAGACUUGUAGGGUUCAUAGAGAUGUGGUCCAUAUGUUUGAACUUUGGUUUGGCCAGCUCUAUAAAAAUUCGAUUUUCAUAAAAAAAAAAAAUUAUAAUCACAUAUGAAAAUGAUAAAUUAAAUUUAUUUUUGCGACAUCAUUUAGACUUCUUAUGUUUCUUUUAUCAUGUGAUCAGAGCAAAAUAAUCAAUUUUAAAAAUAGUUUCAAAUUAAGGAGCUUACAAAUAAAAAUAAAAAUUGAUACAUUCUAAUUCUAAUUCUAAUUUAAAAUGAUAAAUUCUAUUAUCUCUCUUUUUCCAUAUUCAUCCUUUAGUUCUUUUAUUUUUUUAUAUUAUUAUUAUAUUAUCGAUCAAUGUCUGUAGCCUCCUUUACAUCCUAAGCAUUAUCUUUUAUUUGGAGAUGGAUUUCUAAUAGUGUGUGCUCAUGUUCUUCCUCUACCAACCUUUCAUAAUGUCUAUUUUGUGUAUCACAUCAAUAUCUUUAGGCUUUUCAUACUCUUCUCUUGCCACCUCUGUCCUCUCGUGGAAAAUCCAAAACUACAUGGAUUUUCCAUCUUUCUACAAUAUUUACAAACAGAUCGGUUCCAUAGAAUGUGUUCCUGAUGAAUAUAUGUAUCGAUAAAGCAUGAGAUUGCAAGAAUCUAAUGGAAAAUAUGUUAGGUUUCCGAUUGCAAGGUGCCUAUUACGGUGGUAUGUUUCAGAAAAAUGGUUACUUCCUAGCAAAACCUGUGGAUGACAGUGCUAUCGAGAUGGAAAGGCAGAAGUGAAAGCAUAAGAUGCUAACCUCGAAGUCCGGAAGAAGUCUAUCGUUACAUAUAUCCAAGAUCGGAGCAGUUCAUGUGGAAGAUGGACGACAGUUCCCUCAGUAUAUCUGCAGAGAAGCAAGAUGAUCAGCUGCUGUCCCUAUGACUAUCCUGCGAGCUGUACUAGUGAAAUUAUUUGCAUAGAAGAUCUGAUUAGGGGAAAUGAAACUCGAGCGAGGGAGUCUGACCUGAAAGAUGAUGAUGAUGAUACAGUGAUGGUGCGAGCAGUUCUUACCAGAUCUAAGAUGAGUUUUGAGUACUGCCUGCAACCACGGCUAAAUCCAACAAGCAAUACAAAUGAUUUUGAAGGACAGAAGAUGCUCGUCUCAACUUGAUGUAAUGUAUUCUUUCCCUUCUCCAAGCUGUUUAGGUGCAUCUGCAUUUGGCUGGACUAAGAAUUUUCUAUUACCCGUAGUUCAUAAUUAAAGACUGUCAACUAUGUUAUAUAUCAGUUAGUUUAGCUCUUUCUGUCAGUAGCUCACGGACUCGGAAAAAUGAUCCCUACUCCUGUCACUGUUCUCCAUCACAGCUAAGUAGGAAGAAGUGACAACAUAGCAAAAGAGAUGAUCCAAAAUUCAUAAAAGCAUUUCAAAUUAUUAGAAACCCAACUAUGUCUUUAAACAUAUAUUGCUUUUGAGAAACAAUCUUGAUAGUAACAGAGAAAAAUAUGACAAGCUUCAAUCUUCUAUAUUUCUCUCAAGAAAAUUUUUAUAAUUUCAAAAACUCUAUAUCUUUAAUGACCUAACAUAUUGUCACGGACAAACUUCUAAAUAUGAUGUUUGAUAUAAUGCUAUGUAUGUCCGUGUCUUUUGGUAUGUUCAUACUUUGCACCGCAUGUAGAGGGAUGGUCAAAUGCUUAAUAGUCUCAUUUUAAUUGGGUUUGGUGGCUGCUUUAGGCUUAUAAAUAAAUGUUAUGUCAUGUGGACACUUGUGAGAGAUUUUCGAUCUGUAGUGGACCAUUUUGAUCAUUUGUUGUGUAACUGUUCAGAGCUUGUAAAGUCUGUUUGUAAUUUGAAUUAUCUAUGAAGUGUUUAUUGAAAUGUUUGCUUGUGGAUCCCAAGUGAGACGCUUUCUCUAACUCGUUUUCUCUUUUGUAGGUCCUAAGGGACCAUGGGAGGUUUCGGGGAGACUGAUCUUUGCGGACGAACACGCAAGGGUGCCGCACGACUUAGGCAAAAUUAACUAAGUCUGUGAUAAUACGGGGUUUAUAUAGUCCACAAAUAUACAUUACAUUAAUCGUAUUCAAGAUGAAUCAUUCUCUUUCAACAAACCCUUUCAAGAACCAAUAAACAAUUUGACUUAUCCUUUCCUAGACUUUUAAUAUAUUUUUUCUUAACGAAUCUCAAACUUUUCUUUUAAUGAAAUGAAUAUCUUUAUGACACUUGAACAAAUUUAAUUCCAACAGAAAAACCUAAUCAACUGCAUUCUUUCUUUGAAAAUUUCUUCUCCACUUGAUAUGAGAUGAUAACUAGCUAUCUCAUUAAUCAACGAUCGUCCAAAGUUGAUGGAUAUCAUGACCUUCGUCGGAACAAUUUUAAUCAUAAAAUAUUUACUCCAGUUACUAGUAUUUUUUGAACAAUCUUCUUUAUAUCUUCCGAAACGACUUCUUUAUAUCUCGCUCAAGUUUCAGGUCAGACUCUCUCGCUCAAGUCAUUACUAGUAGUUUUUGAACAAUCUUCUCCUAUAUUUUUUUUGAUAUCUUCCAGGAACGACUUCUUUCCAUUUGAUAUCGACAAGUGUUUCAGAUCGGACAGUUGAAUCAUCUCUAACAUCUCAAGACUCCAUUUGCGGCACCGAUGACUCUGCUCUUCCUGGAUUUCAUCGUCGUCGGUAUGCCCCAACUCCAACUUCACUACGCUAUCGCCGUGCGAGAUUUCCAGCCCGCCACAAGGAGCUGUCGUGAUCAGCAGGCCACAAGUAGCAACUUCGGAAGCACUUCUUCUUCCCGUCCGUCGCUAAUCUAUCAUAAUGAAUUCUAUAGUGAGAAAAGUAUGACGGAUCCAUUGUCGAGGAAGACUGAAGCCACUCAAUCGGGGCGCGGUGCGGUGCGGUGCGGUGGAUUGGAUCUGCGGGAGCGCACUGCGGGCCAUGUGCUCGACGCCUCGAUCGGGGCGCGCAUUGCCAUGCCUUCUCCUCCUCCUCCUCCCUCCUGCCUGUCCUCGUUGGCAGGCGGAUCCCAAAUAUGCCGGUAUAUAAAUUUAAUUUCCACUGUUUGUGUUCUUCGGCUUGUCUUGUUUGGACUCGCUGCGUCGAUCGCGUCGCCCGCACCGCGAGAGAGAUAGAGAGACGGUGGUUGUCAUCGGACGGUCCGUGUUGUGUCUCAAAGCCAUUUUGUUCCCCCUCUCAUCUUAAACCUUUUGGAUUAAAUUAAACCGCUAGGAAUUUAACUAUCGUUGGGUUCGGUGUGGCGAUGGUUAGCAUGAGCUAGAGAUAUAAGAAUAUAACGACCUAAACCAUUGAUCAAGUUAUUUAAGUUUCAAUUUGUAAUGAUAUAUUCAUCAAAUUUUAAUAAAUUAAUAUAUAAAGACGUUACAUUUAUAAACCUGAAUCAUUUAUAUAAAAUAUUUAAAUCUAAAAGCAGUAGGUAGAACUGGAGGAAGAAGACAAUGGCGGCGAAUUGGAGAAACAAGACGAAUGCUUAAGAUUUUGAUAACUCUCAUCAUAGUUCCUGCCUUUGGAGUCAUGAAAGUAAGCAGCUUCAAAGCUAAAAGUCUAUUAAUCAGUAUCUCUCUCUCAUCUUUCUAUUUUAGUUCAUAGAAAGACCUAAAACCCAGGUGUUGCCUCACAUCAAAUGGUAGAUUACAGAUCGAUUCAAGACAGAUCAUCUUUUUAGAACAACCCCAAGUCACUCAAAGCUGAUUUGCAGCCAAGAAUGCAUUGAAAGUGAUCAUGAAAGAUACAUCUCUUUGGUAUAAACUUAAUUUUUUUUUCAUUUAAUAUUCUUCAUCUACAGCAUCUGUAACCACAAACAUUGUGUUGGCACCAAUCACCUAUAUAUGAGAUAAGAUUCUAUGUAAAUCUUCUAAAGAAGUUCGAAACCACACAUACCAACUCGGCACAGUAUCUGUGUCAAUAGUAGAAGAUAUCCACGAGCAGAAUGAAUGAAUGAACAGAAGGAAGGAGCUUUGAGCAAACCUGUUGAGGAAGAGAAGGCGAAUGAAUGAAGCCAAGCUUUCCUGUUGGUUGAUGCGGAGUCGCGUCUUACCUUCUUAGCUGUCGAUUACUAGCAUGGAGAGAGGGAGACAAGGAAAGACGUAGGAUUCGCACUAAUCAGACUAUCAAUGGCUCUAAUAACUUUAUUAGAUCAUUCUAGAUUUGAUUACUCUAGAUUUGGAUGAUCUAAACUCACAGGUUACCUAUCCACCUAAGAUACCAUGCAUGCUUAUUUAUAGACUUCAAAAAAUAACUAAAACCAAGAAGAGAUCAUUGUCUUAUCAAUCUAAAUCCCUCUGAUACAGCAAUGUUUUUUUUUUUUGUCUUCCUUUUACAUUUUCUGUAAAAGCCAUCCCCUAACAUCCGUUUUCGUAUUACCUCUUCCUAAGAAUUAAAAGUCAUAUUUAGUCCUCCGGCAUUAAACUUUGUUUUGUAAGUAGGCUUCAUCCCAUUUGGAUGCAGCAUUCGAAGCAGCUCCAUUGUGGCCAUGGAUCAAAGGAGUUGUGAAGGGCCCAGGAUCCAUCAAAAACACAACAACUGCUACCGAGGGAUUUGGAUGAGGGAGCCAUUCAUCUGCUUCGUGAUCGACACACAACAAUUGCAAGUGCAGCCAUUAAGCUUUCCUAGAUUUCCUCCUUAAAACCAUAAGGCUACACUGAUAUGUCGUAUACGGUGGUCAGGUCUCUCGGAACAUAAAAUACAAGAAACUUAUACCUUUCUUUUAACUUCCAGAACAUAAAAUAAACGACUCGUCAAGAUGAGAAGACAGCAACUCUCCCUUCGCUUGCAACCACAACUAAAUCCAGCAAACAAAACAUACGAGAUGUAUGGGAAAGAUAUUUAGACUUGUCUGAAAGAUAAGUCAAGUCAACUCUCCCUUCUCCAAGCUGUCAUCUUGGUUUUAAUGCACAGCUGCGUCAUCCGAUUCUCUAUUUCUCUGGAUCAGAUCGAUGCAUUCAACCCCAUCACAGUUUUUCUUUAGUCAUGUGGGCACACAGUGAGCAAUAUAUCAAUACAUAUGGGAAGCAAUUUCACCUGUGUGCAUGCAUAUGGGAAGCAAAAAUAGUACAAAUCAAAUCUUGCAGAUUGUCGAGGACAAACAUGUAUAGAAAACUAGGAAGUAGCAGAAUUGUAAUGGAGAAGACGACACAAUACUCUUUGUGCCAAAGCCUUCAAGACCAGCGGGAUUGUUCAUCGAUGCAUUGCUUCAGUGAGAUGAUUGAUCGAUGAGUGCAAUGGCCACCGGAGUUGGCAGAAUUGACAAACCAACCGACUCAGCAGCCGCCAUAUCUGACCGAUCUUUUUCUCCGUACGUUGGAUUCUAAUUAAAGAAUAGGUGAGUUUCGGAUGGAUCUAUUUGGAUCAUACCUUAAUCGAAUAAAUAUCUCUCGGUCCAAACUUGGCGCGUGGACCGACCGGAUCGAAUCUGAGUUAGAUUGGACCAAAUGUUACGAUAUCACACGUACUAUUGAAGUAGCCGUAGAUCCGAUCAAUAUUUAAUUUAAAUCAGAACAAAACUAGAAUAAUAAAAAACUAGAAUCGAAUCGGAUCGAUAUAAAUUAAUGGAAUCUGAUUAAAUAAAAAAAAAAUCUGAAUAUCCCUACAAAAAAAGACAAUUGAAUCGAGUGAUCAAAUCGAAAAAAUUGAGAACUAAAUCACUAAUCAAUUUGAUUGGCUUAUCAGACGAUUUUGUUAAAAAACAAAAAAAUAAACAAAAUGAAUGAGUUUUGCAUAACCCACACAAAAUAAUAAGAUUAUUUAAUUACCCUUACCUUAAUUCAUUUUAGAGUCUCUCUCCUUUCGUCCUUAUCUCUUCCUCGGACUACCUCUCACAUCGCCUCGUCUCUUGUGUCUUCACUUCGUCUCAUCCUCAGCUAUCACUUCUCUUUUAUAUGUUGCUCUCCAUCUUUUAUUUAUUUAUCUUCUUUUCUUAAUUUAUGGUCCACUCCUCUACGUAUAAAAUCCUUACUUGAUAAUCGAAUUACAUUUUUUAAUUUUUAAAUAUUAUCAUAUAUUAUUUAAUUUAAAUAAAGAUUUAUGUUUAGGAGGAUAGUUAAUAUUAUCAAUCUUAUAUUUUCUAUUUUUCUAAGAUUAUUCUUUUUUUACUAAUUUUGGCAUAUUAUAUUUUUAUUAAUAAUUUUUUUAAAAAUAAACUAACCAUAUAAUAUAUAUAUAUAUAUAUUAAAUUAAAUUAAAUUGAUUUUAUUUUUAUUUUAUUUAAAAAUAUAUUUAAAAUUAUAAAUCGAUUAACUAACUGGUUAAUCAGAAUGGAGUAAUAAGUUUUGAAAUGAAUCGAAUCCAAAAAAACCCAAUUGGAUUCGGUUCGGAUCUGAACACCCGGAAACUGGCUGAUCUGCCGACAUUGUGUUGUCAUCCCCGUCAACGUGGAUCAGGCCAUCAAACUAACGUGCACAUCUUCCGUGCAUCCGACGGCAAGGAAGCUGACAUGAUCACCUGCGUAGGAAUGAAGCUUCCUCGAAUUGGUUUGACCAAAGAAACUUUUCAGUCAACGUGAAGAUAAUUAUUGAUUCGAUCAUCUUAUUUGAAAUUUGAGAGAUGAAAAAAUUCGAUUCUAUUUAUGAUUUUAUUAAUUGGGCUCAUUAAAUUAUUUAUUUAUUCAUUUAAUCUAAAUUAAUUAUUUUUGUAUAUUGUUGUCGGCUCGCCAUUAGAGAAAUAGAGAGAGAGAGAGAGAGACGAGAGGAUAUAUAUUUUUUGGGACGAAACGUUGACGAAGCUACAGUACAGAAGAAAAGAGAGACCGCGGAGGAAGCGUUCUCCAUUUUGCUUCCUCUCUUUCACCGACGAAGCAGGAAGAAGAAGAAGGAUCAGGAGACUUCCCUCCCUCACUCCUUAUACACGAAAACCAGAUCAUAAUCAGAUACCAGAUCAUAUCUGUCACUGCUUUCACCACUCCACCCUCUCUUGAACUCAGCUCUCGCCUUAUCGGUCGAAAUCUGCAUGAUGAAUCCAGCAUCAGAGUUUCCCUCAAGUCCUCAGGUUGUUGUCUUCUCAUCCCUUCUUCUUCUUCUUCUGCAACCAAACCGGAGAAGUUCUCUCUCACGGAUCUGCUCGCUCUUUCACAAACACCACUCCUACUCCAUCCUCUUCUUCACUGAUCUCAUGUUUGAUUGUCUCGCAGCAACACCAAACCACUGUUACUUCCACGACCGAGAUCCAGUCGCGCCCAAUAAUCGAUGACAUGUUUCAGAACUCAUGGGAAGCUGUAAACACUCAGUUCCUUCUCAGCAUAAUAUGAAUCACUGUUUAUUAUUUCUGCUUUUUUUUUUCCUUGAAUUUCCUGACACAUCUUUUUUCUUUUUGGAUCCCCCAAACAAAUUUACAUAUGCAAGAAAUUAAGCUUCUUGGGAAGAUAUGCAACUUCUCAAGAAUUGUUUAAGCCUCAAAAUAAAUUUUUGAUAGGACGAAAACAAAUGUUUUAGUUCUUCUUCUAUUUGCUUGCUAUAAACAACUUCCAACAAUAGGUUUUUCUGUAUCGGAUGGAAACAUGUAUUUGUUCGUUGCGUUGUCUUCUUCAUGUUUAUCGCUACCUUUAGGUCUUCUACUUCUUCUUUUCUCAAGAAUCUGAGGAUUUUGUCUAUCUUUGAUUCAGGCAGAAAGAGGUUAUGAAACAUCUAGCUAUUAUGAAUCCAAGUUGAAGCAAAUCCUACAGUUCGCCUUCAUUGAUAUCAUCAUCAGCUCAAUGGCACUGUUCGCAGUUUUCAUAGGACAGCGAGAUCUGAAAGGCCGUGCAAACGAAUUGCACCUUCUCAUCUGCGGCUUCCUCACCACCUGCAGUCUUCUCUGUGGGGUAACCCUAAUGUUCUUCACCAUCAAUUUGCUAAGUCGCAAGAAUCACAGUGUCCAAAGAGGCCAGCAUAUGACCACCGUUUUCCUCCUCGUCAUUUCAUGCGCUCUCCUCAUCCUUACAGCAGCUGGUUUCUCAACUCUCCUCCAUAAACGCUCCAUGUUUCUGGCAGCCCUGCUUCCGGGAUGUUUGCUUCUCGGCACCCUCGUCUACUUCAUAGUCCACGCAGGGGAUGAUCAUGAUCAGAAUUCCACAGGAUAUGCGAGCUAUAAAUCAGAGCUGAAACACUCGUUGGGUCUCUCAUUCACUGUUGUCUCCCUUGCAUUCAGUGGGCUGAUAACUACUCUUAUUGGGACCGCUAAAAGUCAUUCGGAUCAAGCCCUUACCAUAAACACGAAGAUCUGCAUCUUUCAGAUGUUCUUCGCCGCCAUGUUCGGCCUUCUGUUGAUGCUGCUCAGCUCAGUCCCACCAAGCUUCAAGCAGCAAAGCACCAGGGAGUUCCUUACCAAGCUCCUCAAAGCACUCAGCUACUCUCUGCUGGGCUCAUUGGCACUCAUAGCCGCUACGGCGGCUUCUGCUUUCCUUGACGUCUUCCUUGUACUGGUUCUCCUGCCGACACCAUUUCUUGGAGUCACUCUUUGGUUCUGCAUAGAGUGGCACAGCACCCAAAAACAGCCGCACGGACCGCGCACUACUACCAACGUUGGUCAUGAUCUCAAGCUCAAACUCAUUUCCAAGGUCGCUACUACCACGACAUCCAUCAGCUUCGGAGGUCUUAUGGGCCUCUUCUCAAGAUUUAUCGGCAGAAAAGGCAGUGAAUUGCAGCUCAAGCUCUGCGUGCUGGUGAUGUUCUUCGCAUUUCUGUCCAGUUUCAGCGUGAAGCUGCUCACUUUCAGUACUCCAAAGCCAGGAACUCUGAUGACAGUUAUCAAAUCCUUAAGCACUUGCUCUGUCUUGUUGCUCCUAUUCUCUGCCAUUAUCGUCUUCUUCCUCGAGUUCCUGGGUGGCUGAGCACCACGAAAAUUACUACUUACUUGCUGCUCGGGAAAAUGCUCAUGUCAUGUUGAAGCCAGUGGGAUUCGGUCAUAUCCUGAAAGAUCACAUGGAAUGUGACCAUUGCAUUGGAUUACAGUGUAAGUCUUUUUAUUUGAGAAAAAAGCUAGAGAAUUUGAUUACAGCAUCAGUUGUUGUCAUCAAAAAAACAUCCGAGACAUGGCCCAUAUGGUUUUAGGGCUUGUCCAUAAAUAACAUAAGAUUGAUGUAUUGAUUGCUCACUGUGUGCCCACAAGACUUCCAGAGACUUGUAGGGUUCAUAGAGAUGUGGUCCAUAUGUUUGAACUUUGGCUUGGCCAGCUCUAUAAAAAUUCGAUUUUGAUUAAAAAAAAUAUAAUCACAUAUUAAAAUGAUAAAUUAAAUUUAUUUUUGCGACAUCAUUUAGACUUAUCUUUCUUUUAUCAUGUGAUCAGAGCAAAAUCAUCAAUUUAAAAAAAUAGUUUCAAAUUAAGGAGCUUACAAAUAAAAAUAAAAAUUGAUACAUUCUAAUUCAACUUCGUUCUAUUUAUUUAAAAUGAUCUCUUCUAUUAUCUCUCUUUUUCCAUAUUCAUCUUUUAGUUCUUUUAUUUCUUAUAUUAUUAUUAUAUUAUCGAUCAAUGUCUGUUAGCCUCCUUCACAUCCUAAGCAUUAUCUUUUAUUCGGAGAUGGAUUUCGAAUAGUGUGUGCUCAUGUUCUUCCUCUACUAACCUUUCAUAAUGUCUAUUUAGUGUAUCACAUUAAUAUCUUUAGGCUUUUCAGACCCUUCUCUUGCAACCUCUGUCCACUCGUUUCACUGGUCGCUUACAGUACAUGCCCUAGAAAAAAAAAGGCUCAUACUCCAAAACUACAUGGAUUUUCCAUCUUUCUACAAUAUUUACAAACAGAUUGGUUCCAUAGAAUGUGUUCCUGAUGAAUAUAUGUAUCGAUAAAGCAUGAGAUUGCAAGAAUCUGAUGGAAAAAAUGUUAGGUUUCUGAUUGAAAGGUGCCUAUUACGAUGGUAUGUUUCAGAAAACUGGUUACUUCCUAGCAAAACCUAUGUAUGACAGUGCUAUCGUGAUGGAAAGGCAGAAGCGAAAGCACAAGAUGCUAACCUCGAAGUCCGGAAGAAGUCUCUCGGAGCAGUUCAUGUGGAAGAUGGACGACAGUUCCCUCAAUAUAUCUGCAGAAAAGCAAGAUGAUCAGCUGCUGUCCCUGUGACUAUCCUGCGAGCUGUACUAGUGCAAUUAUUUGCAUAGAAGAUCUGAUUAGGGGAAAUGAAACUCGAGCGAGGGAGUCUGACCUGAAAGAUGAUGAUGAUGAUACAGUGAUGGUGCGAGCAGUUCUUUCCAGAUCUAAGAUUAGUUUUUAGUACUGCUUGCAACCACGGCUAAAUCCAACGAGCAAUACAAAUGAUUUUGAAGGACAGAAGAUGCUCGUUUCAACUUGAUGUAAUGUAUUCUUUCCCUUCUCCAAGCUGUUUAGGUGCAUCUGCAUUCGGGCUGGAUUAAGAAUUUUCUAUUACCCAUAGUUCAUAAUUAAAGACUGUCCACUAUAUUAUACAUCAGUUAGUUUAGCUCUUUCUGCCAGUAGUUCACAGGAACUAAAAUUACUUUCUCUCACUAGUAGGAACUCGGAAAAAUGAUCCCUACUCCUGUCACUUUGCUCCAUCACAGCUAAGGAGGAAGGAGUGACAACAUACCAGAAAAGAGAUGAUCCAAAAUUCAUAAAAGCAUUUCAAAUUCACAAGAGCAGUGAAAGCAGAGGCCACCUCCGCUUGUGCCUCGAGGAUCACUUGUUUCAUAUUGGUGCAGCCGCUUAGCUUCGGAAUCUUGGACGAUGUAAGUCGAAGGACCGACGAGACGACAGUGAGAAAUCGUCAGCUGUCGAAGGCGACGAAGCAGAUCUUCCGGAAUGACUUCUUUCCAUUUGAUAUCGACGAGUGUUUCAGAUUGGACAGUUGGAUCGUUUUCUAACAUCUCAAGACUCCAUUUGCGGCGCCGAUGACUCUGCUCCUCCUGGAUUUCAUCGUCGUCGGUGUGCCCCAACUCCGACGGCAGUUAAAUUAAAAAUUAUCUAAUGAAGAACAUAAAACUCUUAAACAUCUUUAAAAAAGAUAUAUCUUUUUAUAUUCAUUGAUUUUUUUUCUUAACAUUAAUUAAUUAAUAUGAAUAAUAUAUUACUUUAUUUAAAUUAUUAACUUCCUUAUUUAUGUAGUAUGAUUAAGGAAAUGAUUAAAAUUGAUUUCCUUAAUUAUAUGGAUAUGUUAGAAAAUUUUCUAAUUAAUUAAAUUAUUAAUUGAUUUAUUUCUAAUGAGUGAUGUAACUUUUAGGAAGUAAAAAGUUUAUAUUUUAUUUUUGUGUUUUAACCAUAAGAAAUAAAUAUUAUAUUUUUAUCUUUGUGUGUGAAAGUAAAAUAAAAUUAAAUCAUUACUAACGGAGAGCUCAUCUUGUAGGCUCCUCCUCUUUUAUUUCUCUUGUUUUGAAAUAUUUAAUAUUAUGAUUAUUAUAAUUUUAUGAUAUAUAAUAAUAUUUUUAUUUUUUAAUUUUUAUGAUUAAUAAAUAAUGAUAAUUGAUUUAUGAUGUUUGAAUGAUUAUUUUACUUAUAAUGGUCUCUUAAGCUUAAGUGAAUUUUAAAAUUGAUUUAAUUGUUAAAAAUUUUAUUUUUGAAUUAACAUAAUAAUUUUAAUUUUUAAUUAGAUCUAUAUGUGUUUUAAGAAUUAUGUGUGAAUUUCUAUAAUUUAAUUAGUUUUAAAUUUAAGAUCAUGAAUUUAAAUUUUUUAAUUCAUAGGUUUAAAUUACUCUAUAAUAAUUUAAAAUAUUAAAAUAUAAUUUAAUAAAAUGAGUCUGAGUAGGUCUGACGUAAGUCAUGUUGAUUUGUUAAAUUGGGUCGACCCGACCCUUGUGGUCAUGUAUGACCCAACUUAUCUGACUAUACAUGAAUUAGCUUACGUAGUCAUGUACACCAAAUUCAUGUGGUUAGGCAUGAUCUAGCCCAUGUAGCCAUGUAUGAUCUAGCCCAUAUGACUCAAAUUUAUAUGGCCAAGCAUGAUAACCUAGCUCAUUUAGUUAUGUAUAACAUAGCAUAUGUGACGAAGCAUGACCCAACCCAUAUAGCCAUGUCUGACUCAACUAAUAUGGUCAGGCAUGACCUAGCCCAUGUAGCCACGACUCAACCUAUAUAGUCAAAUACGACUCAACUCAUGUGAUUAUGUAGGACCCAACUCAUAUGAUAAAAUAUGACAACUCAUGUGGCCAAGCAUAACCCAACUCAUAUGAUCAUGUAUAACCCAACCCAUAUGGUAAUAUAUGACUCAACCCAUAUGACCAAGCAUAAUCCAACUUAUGUGGCCAAGUACGACUCAAUUGAUGUGAUCGGAUAUAACCCAAACUCAUGUGUCGAUGUAUGACCUAACCCGUGAACUAAGCGUAACCUAAUUUAGUGGUAAGGCUCAGCUCAGUCCACGAAGUUCAGCCUACCCAACUAUGCGAUUGGUGUUAGGCACAUUAUCGUUCCUCUAUACAUCCCAUUGUACCUCAACCUAACAUAUUAUUUGGGAUAGGCAUGUGCAGCGCACAUGACUCAUUUAAGACUCAUAUGAGUUGAUUUGGUUUGACUUAGCACUAUACAACAUAGUCUAAUUUCCUAUCUUAUUAUUGGUUUAAGCUCGUUAAUUGACUGAAUCAUAAUAUUUUAUUGAUUCAAACAGAUUUUGGGUGAUUUUAGACCAACUUGACUAGUUCAAAACUACUUGCCCUAAUCGAAAUCAAUCAAAUCUAAAUUGACCAGUCUAUGGUAAUUCAAUAUCAGUCCUAUAAGGAUUUGAUAUUGGUUUCGUUAGCUCCUAAUUGAAUAGAAUUUUGUUCAAGUUAAUUGAGCUAUUCCAAUUAGGUUUUGGUUGAUUGAGAAUUAAGUCAUUGAUUUCUUAUGUUUUUAUGAUUUGAUGAAUUUAAAAAUUUUAUUUGAAAGUAUUAUUUGAAAAUGAUUAUUAGUUUUUAACUUUUUAAGUUUAUGAUAUUAAUAUGAUUGUUACAUGUAGUAUAUGUAACUAUGUUAGUGGUCUACAUUACAAGGGUAACCUAUGAAAGGAGUUGCAUGCCUAUUAUAGUAUGGAGCAACUAAUGGAUAUAGUUUAACAGAUUAUACAUAAAAUAUGGUUCCUCAUAGUAUUUUAUUAUACUAUUUCUUGGAUACAUGUGUAAAUGAAUGGAUUAAUGAUCAUGGCUAUUUAUGUAUCUCUUUUGAGGAUAGGUAAAUAUCUCUUUUGAGGAUAGGUAAAGUGACUCCAUUCGGAGAUUAGCAAGCUAUCAAAUAUGAUAGUUAGAUUAUUCAUAUUUGUGUAUACGAGAGAUAUCACUCUAUCCAUUAUUGGGAAUAUGAUAUGGGUUCUCUCUAUCUACCGUUGAAGUGAAUUCAUCCCAUUGAGUAUGUCUUUCCAUUCGUUAUUGGGAGAGUACACCAUCGAGUGUAAUGUACGUCUUUGUUAUGUAUGUGUUGUAUAUAACUAAUGUAUAUUUUUAUUUAUUACAUAAGAAUUAUCAUUAUUUUUUUGAUGUAUGAUUUUUAAUGAAUCAAUAAAUUAUUAUUUCAUAUUAAAUUAUUGAUAUUUACAUAUGUUUCAUAAAUAUUGAAGAUUAUUUUUAUAAUUUUUUAAAUAUUCCUAGCAUGUGUGAUUAUUGAUAUAUUUUUAUCUUAUAUUUAUUUUCAGAAUAAUCUACUACUUGGUAAUAAAUCUAAGGUUUAGAUUUUAGAGACAUUUUCUUCGCUUUUAGUUUUACCACGAAGAUAGGGACUUGAAUUCAAGGAUGAAAAAAAUAAAGUGUCUUCUGUAAAUUAUGAAUGAUAAAAUAAUAAUUUAAUUUUUUUUAUAAAUAUGAUAUGUGAUAAUUUAAUGAUAUCAUAACAAUGAUUUUGACGAUCUAUUAGAAUAUAAGAUUUUAGGGUUAAAAUAUUAGAUAGGCCAAUUAGUUUUUGAGAUUUAGAUUUUAAAAAUUAUAUAAUAAUACAACUAAAGCAUUUUAAAAAUAUUAAGAUCAUUUUAUUGAGUCAAAUAUUAUUUAUUUAUUUUUUGUAAGAAAAUGAUUAGUUAAAAAUGUUACAUAAAAGAGAAUCUUGAUGGGUGCAAUAGCCAUAUGGGAGUUGGUAGACUUGACUACGCGCACCGACACCUUGUCAAUCAUCUUUUUUUUUUUCCGUAUAUUAUUUUCUAAUUAAAGAAUAGGUCAGUUUCGGAUGGAUCUAUUUGGAUCAUAGCUUAAGUGAAUGAACAUCUUUCGUGUGUGUAUAUAUAUAUAAAGGUAUUUAAAAUAAAUAAAUCGAUUAAUUGAUUAAUCAAACCGAAUUAAUAAGUUUCGAAACGAUUUGAUUAGAUAAAAUUAGAAUUAAUUUUGAUUCAAACUAUCUUAUCUAAAUUGAAUCGAAAAAAACAAUUCGGUUCGGUCCGAUUUGAAUGCAUCUGAUCACCCGGAAACCAGCUGAUAAGAGGAUAAGACCCCGACAUUGUGUUGUCAUCCCCGUCAACGUGGAUAAGCACAUCGAACUAAUGUGCAUCCGCUAGCAAGGAGACUGACGGAACUAAUGUACUAAUUGGGCUCAUUAAAUUAUUUAUUUAUUUAAUCUAAAUUAAUUAUUUUUAUAUAUUGUUUUUCGGCUUAUUAAAGACAUGAGAGAGAGAGAGAGAGAGAGAGAUGAGAGGGUGGCUGAAGUCAAUAGUUUUGUUGCCAAAGCGUUCACGUGGCUACAAAUCAGAAGAACAGAGAACGCGGAGGACGAGAGAGAGAGAGAGAGAGAGAGAGAGAUGAGAGGGUGGUCAAUAGUUUUGUUGCCAAAGCGUUCACGUGGCUACAAAUCAGAAGAACAGAGAACGCGGAGGACGCGUCUCCAUUUUGCUUUCUCUCUUUCCCCGACGAAGAAGGUAGAAGGACCUAGAGACUUCCCUCCCUCACUCCUUAUACUCGAAAACUAUAAAAUCAUCUGAUACCACAUCAUACUUGUCACUGCUUUCUCCACUCCACCCUCUCUCCUUAUCGGUCGAAAUCUGCAAGAUGAAUCCACCAUCAGAGUCUCGCUCAAGUCAUCAGGUUCUUCUCAUCCCUUCUUCCUCUUCUUCUUCUUCUUCUGCAACCAAACCGGAGAAGUUCUCUCUCUCUGAAUCCACCAUCAGAGUCUCGCUCAAGGCCUCAGGUUCUUCUCAUCCCUUCUUCUUCUUCUUCUGCAACCAAACCGGAGAAGUUCUCUCUCUCUCUCUCUCUCUCUCUCACAGAUCUGCUCGCUCUUUCACAAACACCACUCCUCCUCGAUCCUCUUCUUCACUAAUUUGAUGUUUGAUUGUCUCGCAGCAACACGAAACCACUGUUCCUUCCACGACCGAGAUCCAGUUGCGGUCAACGGUCGAUGGCAUAUUUCAGAACUCAUGGGAAGCUGUAAGCACUCAGUUAGUUCCUUCUCAGAAUAAUAUGAAUCAUUGUUUAUUGUGCUACAACAAGAAUUUCUGCUUUUUUUUCCUUGAAUUUCCUGACACAUCUUUUUCUUUUUGGAUCCCCCAAACAAAUUUACAUAUGCAAGAAAUUAAGCUUCUUGGGAAGAUAUGCAACUUCUCAAGACUUGUUUAAGCCUCAAAAUAAAUUUUGAUAAGACAAAGACACGUGCAUUAGUUCUUCUUCUAUUUGCUUGCUAUAAACAACUUCCAACAAUAGGUUUUUCUGUAUCGGAUGGAAACAUGUAUUUAUUCAUUGCGUUGUCUUCUUCAUGUUUAUCCCUCCCUUUAGGUCUUCUAUUUCUUCUUUUCUCAAGAAUCUGAGGAUUUUGAUUUUGUCUAUCUUUGAUUCAGGCAGAAAGAGGUGAAGUUGCAAGAGGUCAUGAAACAUGUAGCUAUGAAUCCAAGUUGAAGCAAAUCCUACAGUUCGCCUUCAUUGAUAUAAUCAUCAGCUUAAUGGCAGUGUUUGCAGUUUUCAUAGCACAGCGAGAUCUGAAAGGCCAUGCAAACGAAUUGCACCUUCUUAUCUGCGGCUUCCUCACCACCUGCAGUCUUCUCUGUGGAGUAACCCUAAUGUUCUUCACCAUCAAUUUGCUAAGUCGCAAGGAUCACAGUGUCCACAGAGGCCAGCAUGUGACCACCGUUUUCCUCCUCGUCCUUUCAUGCGCUCUCCUCAUCCUUACAGCUGCUGGUUUCUCAACUCUCCUCCAUAAACGCUCCAUGUUUCUGGCAGCCCUGCUUCCGGGAUGUUUGCUUCUCGGCACCCUCCUCUACUUCAUAUUCCACGCAGGGGAUGAUCAUGAUCAGAAUUCCACAGGAUAUGCGAGCUAUAAAUCAGAGCUGAAACAUUCGUUGGGUCUCUCAUCCACUGUUGUCUCCCUUGCAUUCAGUGGGCUGAUAACUACUCUUAUUGGGACCGCUAAAAGUCAUUCGGAUCAAGCCCUUACCAUAAACACGAAGAUCUGCAUCUUUCAGAUGUUCUUCGCCGCCAUGUUCGGCCUUCUGUUGAUGCUGCUCAGCUCAGUCCCACCAAGCUUCAAGCAGCAAAGCACCAGGGAGUUCCUUACCAAGCUCCUCAAAGCACUCAGCUACUCUCUGCUGGGCUCAUUGGCACUCAUAGCCGCCACGGCGGCUUCUGCUUUCCUUGACGUCUUCCUUGUACUGGUUCUCCUGCCGACGCCAUUUAUUGGAGUCACUCUUUGGUUCUGCAUAGAGUGGCACAGCACCCAGAAACAGCCGCACGGACCGCGCACUACUACCAACGUUGGUCAUGAUCUCAAGCUCAAACUCAUUUCCAAGGUCGCUACUACCACGACAUCCAUCAGCUUCGGAGGUCUUAUGGGCGCCUUCUCAGGAUUUAUCGGCAGAAAAGGCAGUGAAUUGCAGCUCAAGCUCUGCGUGUUGGUGAUGUUCUUCGCAUUUCUAUCCAGUUUCAGCGUGAAGCUGCUCACUUUCAGGACUCCAAAGCCAGGAACUCUGAUGACAGUAAUCAAAAUCUUAAGCACUUGCUCCGUCUUGUUACUCCUAUUCUUCGCCAUUGUCGUCUUCUUCCUCGAGUUCUUGGGUGGCUAAGCACCACGAAGAAGACUACUUACUAGCUGUCGGGGAAAUAAUGCAUACGGCAGUGGGAUUCGGUCAUAUCCUGAGAGAUCAGAUGGAAUGUGACCUUUGCAUUUGAUUGCAGAGUAAGUUUUUUUUCCUUUUAGAAUAAAGAUAGAGAAUUUGAUUACAGCAUCAGUUGUUGUCUUAAUUGUCUUAAUUGCUCUGUGUGUGCCCACAUGACUUCCAGAGACUUGUAGGGUUCAUAGAGAUGUGGUCCAUAUGUUUGAACUUUGGUUUGGCCGGCUCUGUAAAAAUUCGAUUUUAAUUAAAUAUCUUCUAUUAUCUCUCUUUUUCCAUAUUCAUCCUUUAGUUCUUUUAUUUUUUAUAUUAUUAUUAUACUGUCGAUCAAUGUCUGUAGCCUCUUUCACAUCCUAAGCAUUAUCUUUUAUUUGGAGAUGGAUUUGUAAUAGUGUGUGCUCAUGUUCUUCCUCUACCAACCUUUCAUAAUGUCUAUUUUGUGUAUCACAUUAAUAUCUUUAGGCUUUUCAUACCCUUCUCUUGCCACCUCUCUCCACUCGUUUCACUGGUCGCUUACAGUACAUGCCCUAGAAAAAAAAGGCUCAUACUCCAAAACUACAUGGAUUUUCCAUCUUUCUACAAUAUUUACAAACAGAUCGGUUCCAUAGAAUGUGUUCCUGAUGAAUAUAUGCAUCGAUAAAGCAUGAGAUUGCAAGAAUCUGAUGGAAAAUAUGUUAGGUUUCUGAUUGAAAGGUGCCUAUUACGGUGGUAUGUUUCAGAAAAAUGGUUACUUACUAGCAAAACCUGUGGAUGACAGUGCUAUCGAGAUGGAAAGGCAGAAGCGAAAGCAUAAGAUGCUAACCUCGAAGUCCGGAAGAAGUCUAUCGGAGCAGUUCAUGUGGAAGAUGGACGACAGUUCCCUCAGUAUAUCUGCAGAAAAGUAAGAAGAUCAGCUGCUGUCCCUAUGACUAUCCUGCGAGCUGUACUAGUGAAAUUAUUUGCAUAGAAGAUCUGAUUAGGGGAAAUGAAACUCGAGCGAGGGAGUCUGACCUGAAAGAUGAUGAUGAUGAUACAGUGAUGGUGAGAGCAGUUCUUACCAGAUCUAAGAUGAGUUUUGAGUACUGCUUGCAACCAUGGCUAAAUCCAACGAGCAAUGCAAAUGAUGUGUAAGGACAGAAGAUGCUCGUCUCAACUUGAUGUAAUGUAUUAUUUCCCUUCUCCAAGCUGUUUAGGUGCAUCUGCAUUCGGGCUGGAUUAAGAAUUUUCUAUUACCCAUAGUUCAUAAUUAAAGACUGUGCACUAUAUUAUUUUAUAUAUCAGUUGGUUAGUUUAGCUCUUUCUGUCAGUAGUUCACAGGAACUAAAACUACUUUCUCUCACUAGUAGGAACUCGGAAAAAUGAUCCCUACUCCAUCACAGCUAAGGAGGAAGGAGUGACAACAUACCAGAAAAGAGAUGAUCCAAAAUUCAUAAAAGCAUUUAAAAUUCACAAGAGCAGGGAAAGCAGACGCCACCUCUGCUUGUGCCUCAAGGAUCACUUGUUUCGUAUUGGUGCAGCCGCUUAGCUUCGGAAUCUUUGACGAUGCAAGUCGAAGGACCGACGAGACGACAGUGAGAAAUCGUCAGCUGUCGAAGGCAAGGAAGCAGAUCUUCCGGAACGACUUCUUUCCAUUUGAUAUCGACGAGUGUUUCAGAUUGGACAGUUGGAUCGUCUCUAACUGAUCUUGGCUCCAUUUGCGGCGCCGAUGACUCUGCUCCUCCUGGUCGGUAUGCCCCAACUCCAAUUUCACCACGCUAUAGCCGUGCGAGAUUACCAGCCCGCCACAAGGAGCUGUCGUGAUCAGCAGGCCACAAGAAGCAACUUCGGAAACACUUCUUCUUCCUGUCCGCCGCAAAUCUAUCUUCUGCUUCGUGUCCACGGCACUAGCACGCACAAGUUUAUUCUCGGAUACGAGGAAUGGUGGGAGAUUAUUCUCAUAUAUGUUGGAACUUUAUAGAAUUCCACAUUAAACUAAAAUCUUCAGAGGAAAGCAAGACGAUGCGAGGGCAGGAAAUCGAAAGAAAUGGUUUUAGGAAGGGUCUAUUAGUCUUUGUUCCGAAACUUGUCGAAUUCUAACAAGAUAAUGUCGUGUCCAUUAUUGUUUGACAUGACAGGUCUCACUCACAUCCUUUUCGAAAGCCACUACUCUAUCAUAAUCUCCUCCAAUGGGCAAGUGGUUCUCAGCUGC